rnacentral:rRNA from 1 species
GACGAACGCUGGCGGCGUGCUUAACACAUGCAAGUCGAACGGAAAGGCGCUGCUCUUGUUGGGUGGUCGAGUGGCGAGGGGGAGAGUAACACAAGAGGUAACUACCCUUCACUUUGGGUUAACUUAACCGCACUGGAGCGUAUCCCAGAUAGGAGCUCCUGGUGCUUGGGGGGGGUGGGUAUGUGUCUGCGGUUGGGGCGGGGCGCGCGGGGGUUCAGCCCGUUGGUCGGGUUGGGGCUGUGAAAGGCUUUGACGGGUGGCCGGCCUGAGCGGGUGAGCGGCCACAUUGGGACUGAUAUACGGCGCAGACGCCUACGGGAGGCAGCAGUGGGGAAUAUUGUGCAGUGGGCGGAAGCCGGAUGCAGCAACGCCGCGUGCGUGAUGAAGGCCUUCGGGUUGUAAACCGCUUUCGCCUGGGACGAAGCGGGAUUGACGGUAGUUGGUUAAGAAGCACCGGCUAACUACGUG